rnacentral:rRNA from 1 species
GACAGAGGAUGCAAGCGUUAUCCGGAAUGAUUGGGCGUAAAGCGUCUGUAGGUGGCUUCUUAAGUCCGCUGUCAAAUCCCAGGGCUCAACCCUGGCCAGGCGGUGGAGACUACUAAGCUUGAGUACGGUAGGGGCAGAGGGAAUUUCCGGUGGAGCGGUGAAAUGCGUAGAGAUCGGAAAGAACACCAAGGGCGAAGGCACUCUGCUGGGCCGACACUGACACUGAGAGACGAGAGCUAGGGGAGCAAAUGGG